rnacentral:rRNA from 1 species
CAGCCGCCGCGGGAAUACGAAGGGGGCUAGCGUUGUUCGGAAUUACUGGGCGUAAAGCGCACGUAGGCGGAUAUUUAAGUCAGGGGUGAAAUCCCGCAGCUCAAUUGCGGAACUGCCUUUGAUACUGGGUAUCUUGAGUAUGGAAGAGGUUAGUGGAAUUGCGAGUGUAGAGGUGAAAUUCGUAGAUAUUCGCAGGAACACCAGUGGCGAAGGCGGCUAACUGGUCCAUAACUGACGCUGAGGUGCGAAAGCGUGGGGAGCAAACAGGAUUAGAUACCCGUGUAGUCCCUGUCUCUUAUUC